rnacentral:rRNA from 1 species
UUGAACGCUGGCGGCAGGCCUAACACAUGCAAGUCGAACGGUAACAGGAAGAAGCUUGCUUCUUUGCUGACGAGUGGCGGACGGGUGAGUAAUGUCUGGGAAACUGCCUGAUGGAGGGGGAUAACUACUGGAAACGGUAGCUAAUACCGCAUAACGUCGCAAGACCAAAGAGGGGGACCUUCGGGCCUCUUGCCAUCGGAUGUGCCCAGAUGGGAUUAGCUUGUUGGUGGGGUAACGGCUCACCAAGGCGACGAUCCCUAGCUGGUCUGAGAGGAUGACCAGCCACACUGGAACUGAGACACGGUCCAGACUCCUACGGGAGGCAGCAGUGGGGAAUAUUGCACAAUGGGCGCAAGCCUGAUGCAGCCAUGCCGCGUGUAUGAAGAAGGCCUUCGGGUUGUAAAGUACUUUCAGCGGGGAGGAAGGGAGUAAAGUUAAUACCUUUGCUCAUUGACGUUACCCGCAGAAGAAGCACCGGCUAACUCCGUGCCAGCAGCCGCGGUAAUACGGAGGGUGCAAGCGUUAAUCGGAAUUACUGGGCGUAAAGCGCACGCAGGCGGUUUGUUAAGUCAGAUGUGAAAUCCCCGGGCUCAACCUGGGAACUGCAUCUGAUACUGGCAAGCUUGAGUCUCGUAGAGGGGGGUAGAAUUCCAGGUGUAGCGGUGAAAUGCGUAGAGAUCUGGAGGAAUACCGGUGGCGAAGGCGGCCCCCUGGACGAAGACUGACGCUCAGGUGCGAAAGCGUGGGGAGCAAACAGGGUUAGAUACCCUGGUAGUCCACGCCGUAAACGAUGUCGACUUGGAGGUUGUGCCCUUGAGGCGUGGCUUCCGGAGCUAACGCGUUAAGUCGACCGCCUGGGGAGUACGGCCGCAAGGUUAAAACUCAAAUGAAUUGACGGGGGCCCGCACAAGCGGUGGAGCAUGUGGUUUAAUUCGAUGCAACGCGAAGAACCUUACCUGGUCUUGACAUCCACAGAACUUUCCAGAGAUGGAUUGGUGCCUUCGGGAACUGUGAGACAGGUGCUGCAUGGCUGUCGUCAGCUCGUGUUGUGAAAUGUUGGGUUAAGUCCCGCAACGAGCGCAACCCUUAUCCUUUGUUGCCAGCGGUCCGGCCGGGAACUCAAAGGAGACUGCCAGUGAUAAACUGGAGGAAGGUGGGGAUGACGUCAAGUCAUCAUGGCCCUUACGACCAGGGCUACACACGUGCUACAAUGGCGCAUACAAAGAGAAGCGACCUCGCGAGAGCAAGCGGACCUCAUAAAGUGCGUCGUAGUCCGGAUUGGAGUCUGCAACUCGACUCCAUGAAGUCGGAAUCGCUAGUAAUCGUGGAUCAGAAUGCCACGGUGAAUACGUUCCCGGGCCUUGUACACACCGCCCGUCACACCAUGGGAGUGGGUUGCAAAAGAAGUAGGUAGCUUAACCUUCGGGAGGGCGCUUACCACUUUGUGAUUCAUGACUGGGGUG